GAAAUGCGAUAAGUAAUGUGAAUUGCAGAAUUCAGUGAAUCAUCGAAUCUUUGAACGCAUCUUGCGCUCCUUGGUAUUCCUUGGAGCAUGCCUGUUUGAGUAUCAUGAAAUCUUCAAAGUAAAUCUUUUGUUAACUCAAUUGGUUUCUACUUUGGUAUUGGAGGUCUUUGCAGCUUCACACCUGCUCCUCUUUGUUCAUUAGCUGGAUCUCAGUGUUAUGCUUGGUUCCACUCGGCGUGAUAAGUUAUCUAUCGCUGAGGUCACUGUAAAAGGUGGCCAAGGUAAAUGCAGAUGAACCGCUUCUAAUAGUCCAUUGACUUGGACAAUACUUUUAUGAUCUGAUCUCAAAUCAGGUAGGACUACCCGCUGAACUUAAGC
rnacentral:misc_RNA from 1 species